AUGUAAUGUAAUGCCUACAAUGUUAAUGCAUUGAAUCCCAUUAGAAAUCUGCAGUUAAGAGCACUUGGGAUAGAGUAGUAUUGGGAUGGGUGACCUCUUGGGAAGUCCUAGUGUUUUACAUG
rnacentral:rRNA from 1 species